GAAUUUUGGACAAUGGGCGCAAGCCUUAUCCAGCAAUGCCGCGUGCAGGAUGAAGGCCUUCGGGUUGUAAACUUCUUGUGUACGUAACGAAAAGCUUUGGGUUAAUACCCUGCGGUCCUGACGGUACCGUAAGAAUAAGCACCUGCUAACUACGUUGCAGCCGCCGCGGUAAUACGUAGGUUGCACGCGUUAAUCGGAAUUACUGGGCGUAAAACGUGCGCAGGCGGUUUUGUAAGACAGAGGUGAAAUCCCCGGGCUCAACCUGGGAACUGCCUUUGUGACUGCAAGGCUAGAGUACGGCAGAGGGGGGUGGAAUUCCGCGUGUAGCAGUGAAAUGCGUAGAUAUGCGGAGGAACACCGAUGGCGAAGGCAACCCCCUGGGCCUGUACUGACGCUCAUGCACGAAAGCGUGGGGAGCAAACA
rnacentral:rRNA from 1 species